GAGAAUAAAUUAUAUAUAAAUACAGCACAGAACAGAACAGCGAGCAGCAUGCAGUUGUAAUCAUUGUGACAAAGUCAGUUUUCGUGUAAAUAGCACCAAAAAGCAGCGGUACGUAUAAAGCGAACUGUGACAGUGCCAUUCAUAUCCAAACUUUUGGUAAGUAACACAAAUUGCAAUUAUUAUGUAUUUAUAGAUCAUCAUAUGCAACCCUAUUGGGUUGCAUGGAAACUUAUAUAAACUUACACUGCGCUACAUUUUUGGUGCGGCAUGGAUAAGAUUGAUACCCAUACCUAAUCUAGCAGUGCUAGGACACCUACAUAUAUAGGCUAGCUUGGCCCAUCCUUUUACGAUAAAUUCGUUUAUUGAUAUUUGAAAUAUUUCUAUAUGCAUUCUUAAGUAAAUUUGUGUCUAAUCCACUUUUAAACGAUUCCUUUAAACGAUCCAAGCCCGCCAACUACAGCAAACACUAUAUCAUGCAUUCAUAAAACCAGAUAUGUUGAAAUAACAAAAAAUUCUUUCAUUUUUAUAACACGUGUCAAGGAACACGAACACAAUAUGUUUUUUUGCCUGUACACCAAAACUGUACACAUUCAAACUUGAAAUGGCACGUUCCGAUGCAAGUAGUGACACCCCCGACUCUGGAGUACAAAGGAUGCCGAGAAUGACGCCACUUUGCUUCGGAAGUAAUUAGUAUGCAAAACGUAAGACGUCAUUUUGUUCAGCUAAAACUGUGGCGGAAUUUAUAACGAGCUUGCAAAAUCUACGACGCCACAUUGUUCAGCUAAAACUCUGGCGGAUUUUUGUAUUUGCGAAUGCAGAUAUAUUGCUAUCGUGCGCGUACCGGAAGUUUGUAAGCGUGCUCAUAGCCAAUCAACGACAGCGUAAAUGACGUAAUGAUACUAAUUUCAAAAUGGCGGUUUAGUGAAGGGUGAAACAAAGGGAAAUUUGUGAAUUUACGAUUAAAAUCAUACAUCAAACGCAGUCAAAACAACGUCAUUUUACUAGUCUGAAUAUGGCAAAUGUCGAUAGUGCAUUUUUGGCAAGCAUUUGAAGGGUUUCAUCAUUUAAUACGCAGUGGAAACGAACUGAUUCGCAAUUUUUGACAAGAAAAUUGACUAUUAGUCAUGGCAUUGAGAAUAUUAUUAUGAAACUAUGAAAGUAAUGAUUCUUCCACAUGUUGCCGUUGUGGGUGUAUAUGGAGUUGUACUCGAGUGUUGAUGUUUAUGUACUUCUCAAUUUAGCAUUUUCAUUGGUGACUUUAGUUAAUAUAAAUUACUUAUUAGUUGAAUGAAACCAAAUAUAGAAGGCUAUUUAAUUUCGUAAGGUUACAUAAUUUCUUUAUCAAUGAUCAUAACUAUAGACAAUUGGUGUCUGCUUUCAUUACAGACAAGUAGACUUUGAUAGAUCAUUUUUAUACAAAUUUAGCAGAGUCAGAAGCAAAUAUUGGAAACAUUUCUGUUAAAGCACUUUAUGUAUGUGCAUUGAAUAAUUGCUUUCAAUAAAGGUGCUCGACAGUCCGUAUGUAAACAAAGCCUUUGUUUACAUUUUUGUGUCCAAAAUAUUGAGUUUUAUUCAACAACUAUUUAUAUUUUCAAGCUUCUAGAGUAUAAUAAAUUAUCAAGAAACAACAAUCAGGCUUUUCAAGAACCCAAAACAUAGUUAAACUGUUUGUAUCAUAAAAAGUGGGCUCCUUUGUGCACAUGCGCAGAUCGGGCUGUAGAGCACCUUUAAAGCAAAGCCAAAGUAAUAGUGACUGCAUAAAGAGCAGAGAUUCAGCUUUAGAUUGGAAUAUCAAUACUUAUAGUAACAGUUGCAACCAGUCAUAAUUAUCAACUUGCAGUAUAUCACCUUCUUCAUCCAUCCUGAUUUAAUUCUGCAACUGGAUGUCAUUGCCAAGAACACCAAGUAAGCAAUUUAUAUCCCCCUUCCCCUAUCCCAUACUAUAUUGUCUUAUAUAAUCAACAACAACCAUAUGUCAUAAUGGGAUCUGAUUUAUAGCACACAAUGUACAAAACUAACAUAAUAUUCUGUUUAUUGGAUUUUCUUCCACGACAAAGUAUUAUUGCAUGGAUCUGGUAUGCUGAAUUAUAUCAUAUGCUGAACUAUAUGCAUCGAUUAUAUUUCUAAUUUCCAUACUUGUUAUCAUUUGUUACUGAUGAAUGACUUUCAAUAUAUGACCUAUUUUAUAUAUUUACUAGGAAUAAACAGUUGAAUUGUGUGCCAUCAACCCUGACUAUGACAUUUUCUUAAAUGAAAUAGAUCAAUUAUAAACAGCAGAAAUGUUGAUGUUAUGUAUCAAUUAUGGUAUAAAAAGGCUUUCAAAACUCUGCAAAUGUAUAUUGACACCACCUGUUAUCCUGAUAACUUCUAUGCAUCUGCAAUGUUUUCGCAUGCCUGCUAAAGUUUAUUAUGAACUAUCAAGAAGAUUUGGAACCCGAAAUGUUUUAACUCUUUUGCAGCAGGGUCCAUUACGCGUAGAACGUGCACGUUCUACGGAUGUAAUUCGUUCAUAUCUUUGGUUCAGUGCACGCUAUGUAGAUGAAAAUACUACCAUUCGAUUCAGUAUAAAAAUAUACACUAAUUUAUAACGAUAGUUUUAGUCAGUGGCUAAAUUGUAGCGAUUUAUGAGCUUUGAAAGUCAAGCGAGCUUGGUAUUUGAUCAAAUUACACAAUAUUACUAACAAAUUAUAAACAUAGACAUACCUUUCGCCGAACAUAACUUCGGCCCCUUGAGAUGCAAGCUCAUUCUGGUA